rnacentral:rRNA from 1 species
CCUACGGGAGGCAGCAGUGAGGAAUAUUGGUCAAUGGGCGCGAGCCUGAACCAGCCAAGUCGCGUGAGGGAAGACGGUCCUAUGGAUUGUAAACCUCUUUUGUCGGGGAGCAAAAGACGCCACGCGUGGCGUUCCGAGAGUACCCGAAGAAAAAGCAUCGGCUAACUCCGUGCCAGCAGCCGCGGUAAUACGGAGGAUGCGAGCGUUAUCCGGAUUUAUUGGGUUUAAAGGGUGCGCAGGCGGAAGAUCAAGUCAGUGGUAAAAUUGAGAGGCUCAACCUCUUCGAGCCGUUGAAACUGGUUGUCUUGAGUGAGUGAGAAGUAGGCGGAAUGCGUGGUGUAGCGGUGAAAUGCAUAGAUAUCACGCAGAACUCCGAUUGCGAAGGCAGCAUACCGGCGCUCAACUGACGCUCAUGCACGAAAGUGUGGGUAUCGAACAGGAUUAGAUACCCCGGUAGUC